rnacentral:rRNA from 1 species
GACGAACGCUGGCGGCAUGCCUAAUACAUGCAAGUCGAACGCUGAAGCACUCUGCUUGCAGAGUGCGGAUGAGUGGCGAACGGGUGAGUAACACGUGGGAAAUCUGCCUAGGAGUGGGGGAUAACAUUCGGAAACGGAUGCUAAUACCGCAUAUCUUUUUGAGCCGCAUGGUUCUUAAACGAAAGACGGCUUCGGCUGUCGCUCUUAGAUGAUCCCGCGGCCGUAUUAGUUAGUUGGUGGGGUAAAGGCCUACCAAGACCAUGAUACGUAGCCGACCUGAGAGGGUGAUCGGCCACACUGGGACUGAGACACGGCCCAGACUCCUACGGGAGGCAGCAGUGGGAAUCUUCCACAAUGGGUGAAAACCUGAUGGAGCAAUGCCGCGUGAAUGAAGAAGGUCUUC